rnacentral:rRNA from 1 species
UGGGGAAUCUUGGACAAUGGGGGCAACCCUGAUCCAGCCAUGCCGCGUGCGGGACGAAGGCCCUCGGGUCGUAAACCGCUGUCAGGAGGGAGGAACGGUGCGUGGUUAAGAGCUGCGUACUUUGACAGUACCUCCAGAGGAAGCCCCGGCUAACUCCGUGCCAGCAGCCGCGGUAAUACGGAGGGGGCAAGCGUUAUUCGGAUUUAUUGGGCGUAAAGGGCGCGUAGGCGGCCUGAUAAGUCAGAGGUGAAAGCCCUCGGCUCAACCGAGGAAAUGCCUCUGAAACUGUCUGGCUCGAGGCUGGGAGAGGACAGCGGAAUUCCUGGUGUAGCGGUGAAAUGCGUAGAUAUCAGGAGGAACACCCGUGGCGAAGGCGGCUGUCUGGACCAGUUCUGACGCUG